GCGGCACCGACACGACAGGUGGAAUUUCCUGCUCUGCCGGCUCCCGGCCGGACCUUCGGUUCCAGCCUCGCGGCGCCCGCCCCGGUUCCGGCGGCCCGGAGGUGCCCUGUCCCGGCGCUCCUGCCCCUCGGGCCUUUCCCUGGCCUGGAAGGGGGCUUAUCUCGGUCCCUGAACAAUUCCGCGCUGUCCGUGCACAUUGGGCAAGGAAGCAGCGGCGCAGGCUCUGAGUGGGUGGUUUGGGCCCAGGGAAGGGAUGUUUCCAGGGGGCUUUGGAGCCCUAGCGUCCUUGGCCUCUGCAGCAAUUUGUUUUUGUCUUGCUGGUCAGAAGGCAAUGGAGGACCUGUGCAGAGGGCAACUGGGAAACCAGAGCUUCGGUUGCCAUGGAGCCUGGAGCUUAGGACUCCAAGCAACUAUAUGCGAAAAACGCCUAGUUUACAGAUGACAACACUGAGAUUCAGAGGGCUUGCAUAAUGGCCCAAAGGCAGAGGCACAGCAAGAGUUCAGACCUAGAUCUGUGCAACUUCAAAGCUUAUAGCCUUAACCGCAAAGCCAUUGUACAGCUGUAUGCCAAAGACAGGGUGAUUGACGCACAGCCCAGCAAAAUCCUAGAACACAUCGUUCAACAGAGUACUGAGAACCAGGUGCCAACACGAAUCCACUAAAGACCUCUCACACCACACUCGUCUGGUUUUUCCUCUUGAUGAGGUUACUCACCUGAUAGACCAGAAGACCGGCUGGAGAUGGGAUUUCGACAGGCUUUGAAAAAUGUAGCUUUGU